GAUGAACGCUGGCGGCGUGCCUAAUACAUGCAAGUCGAGCGAACGGACGAGAAGCUUGCUUCUCUGAUGUUAGCGGCGGACGGGUGAGUAACACGUGGAUAACCUACCUAUAAGACUGGGAUAACUUCGGGAAACCGGAGCUAAUACCGGAUAAUGUUUUGAACCGCAUGGUUCAAAAGUGAAAGACGGUCUUGCUGUCACUUAUAGAUGGAUCCGCGCUGCAUUAGCUAGUUGGUAAGGUAACGGCUUACCAAGGCAACGAUGCAUAGCCGACCUGAGAGGGUGAUCGGCCACACUGGAACUGAGAUACGGUCCAGACUCCUACGGGAGGCAGCAGUAGGGAAUCUUCCGCAAUGGGCGAAAGCCUGACGGAGCAACGCCGCGUGAGUGAUGAAGGUCUUCGGAUCGUAAAACUCUGUUAUUAGGGAAGAACAUAUGUGUAAGUAACUGUGCACAUCUUGACGGUACCUAAUCAGAAAGCCACGGCUAACUACGUG
rnacentral:rRNA from 1 species